rnacentral:rRNA from 1 species
GACGAACGCUGGCGGCGUGCUUAACACAUGCAAGUCGAACGAAGUGGCGAACGGGUGAGUAACGCGUAAUCAACCUGCCCUUCAGAGGGGGACAACAGUGGGAAACGACUGCUAAUACCGCAUAAUGAAGGAGGGGAUUGCGUUGGAUUUGCUCGUUGGGGGGGUAACGGCCCACCAAGGCGAUGAUCAGUAGCCGGUCUGGGAGGAUGAACGGCCACAUUGGGACUGGGCCACGGCCCAGACUCCUACGGGAGGCAGCAGUGGGGAAUCUUCCGCAAUGGGCGGAAGUCUGACGGAGCCACGCCGCGUGGGUGGUGACGGCCUUCGGGUUGUAAAACUCUGUUAAUCGGGGCGCGGUACCCGAAUAGAAAGCCACGGCUAACUACGUGCCAGCAGCCGCGGUAAUAC